GAUCACCACCUGGAAUCUGAGGGAAUGUUUUGACGACAACAUUGUUAGUAUAGUUGAAUAAGAUUGCUUUGUUGUUUGCGAAGAUGAAAAGAUUGCCAUCCACGUUUAAGAAAACAAAAGGGUAUAGGUUGUUUUCUGUUCUAGGUUCACUUGUUUGAACCAAAAAGGGUAAACUAUAAGUGUUUUUGGCUGUGGCUUCAGUUUUGGGGUAAAACUCGUAGUUGAAUUGUCUUCUUCCGCCGAUUAUUAUUUGACCACCGUCCGGUAGCUUGUGAUUGGUGGCGUACCUAGAAGAAAAAUGUGAAGAGAUCAUAGUUGUAAAGUAGAGGGAGAGAGGGUAAAUAACAAACUUUAUAGAUAUUAUUUGAUAUAAGACAAAAUUAUAAAUAGGUAGACGAGUUCAUAUACUCAAAAUUAGUUGGUUUUGAGUGAUGGGCUUGAGCUAUUCUUACAAAACACUUUCAGCCAAAAAUAUUAAUUUAUGGAUCUACGUUGUUCACUUUGGAUAAAAUGAGAUGAUUGACUGUUGUAUAAAAUGAAAUGAUUAAAUAAGUGACAAACAAAUAUAUAAUUUAUUACCAUAAGAUUUUGGUUAAAAAUCUUAUGUUUCACUUAUUGACUCUAUCCUUCCCACAACCCUGAAAUCCUAUAGUAGUGAUUGGAGUCUCCCAUUACAUAACUUUUAAAUGAUUUUUGAAUCAAUUUUGUAGACUUAAACUAACUUGUUAAAUUGUAUUAAAUUGUGUCAUAAAAUGAAUAUAAAUUCGAAAAUGCUCCAGUAAUUUUUUUUUUGCAAAAUAACAACUCUUCAUUAAUUCAUUACCUCAUCCCCUUUAUUACAAAUUUUUGGACUGGAAAGAAGUAUGACAAAAUAAAAAAGGGCACAUGGGUUAAACUAACUAAUUUUAAUUUGAUAGGACUUUUUCUAUGCCUUUUCGAUCGGAUUCAUAAGAUAAACCUACACCCAUAUGGACAAGGAUCUGUUGUCCCAAACCCUGUCACAGAUCAAUCGAAUAAAGUCAAAUACAUAUAUGUUUACAAGAAACACAUGAAAAUCAAUGUAUAUGUACCCAAAUACCCUCGCUAGGAAUGUCUUGGUGUACCACAAAUAGUAGAUAAAAACCAGGUGGUGCAAGAAUAGGUGAACCAGGUGUGGUGACUACAACUUGGUACAGUGUUCCAUUCACAUUUGUCACACUCUUUGGCUCUAACACCAACAACCUUUGAUUCAUUGAAUAAGAGUGUGUGGUAAAAGGUGGCGAUAACAUAGUCACCAACACUAAAUUUUGAGACAAUGUUCCUUUCACCUGAAACUGAACCUCCAAUAUCUGACCAUACAUAAUUUGAGAUUGUGAAGUAGGAGACAUAAUUCUUGGUCGCAAAUUGUCAAAGCCAGGUUCUAAAUAUGAAGGAGAAAAGGCUUCCACACUUAGCUCUGUUGGAAAUAUCACGUUAGUGAAAUUGUAAUAGACGUUGGGAUUGCUUCCAGCAACUAGUACCUGUUGAAAAAGUUCAAUUUUAGGAUUGAAGACAAGAGAAAAUAAUAUUUACAAUAUUUAAUCUCUAAAUAUAAUAAAAUUAGAUUUUAAGAAAGGCUGCACUAGUUAAGAUUCAGCACUGCAUAAAAAAAGUGAAGAUUCAGUGAUAAAGUUUGUUUUAAUGUAUGGUAAUGGGUCACAUGGUUAAAUAAGCAAGUUUUUCAUGAGGUAACAAUGUGUUUCUUAUAGUUUUUCUAUAAAAACUUAUUUCUUCUAAAACCCUGAACAUUAGUUCACAUCACAAAAGUCCUUAAUUUCUUAAUAUAGAACCAAUGUUAAUUUGACUUUUUCUAAAAAAAACUUCACAUCGACAAUGUUUUAUGUACAUUAAAGAUGACAUCUUUGUAGCACUCAUUUAUGUUUAUACCACAACUUUAUGCUAUAAUCCUAAAACGUGAUAGGAAUAUAUCCUUGUUGGGUAUAUGAAUAUCAAAAUAAGAGUGUUGUUUUAACCUACCCUUCCAUCACGAACCAAAACAGCUGUAGAGUGGUACAUUCUAGGGAUGCUAGAUGGGUUUUGCAACUCAAACCGUGACCCCAGUGGACUAUUUGUUUUAUAAAUAAUCGGGUUUAAAGUCGGGUUCCGCCCGAAUGUCCAUCCAGCUGUACCUGAACCUGCACCAUUAACAAUUAAAACAUUACCAUUAGGAAGCAUCACCAUAUCACUCAUAACUCUACCACCCGGCAUAGUCUCCAUAACCCAAUUUGGGUUCUGAUCAGUUACUUUAACCCUAGCACAAGUAUUCAACGCUCCAAUAAAAUGACCCUUUGAGGCUUGUUCAUAAGAUCCUUUUGGAGCUCCACCACAAACCAAAACCUCAGCUUCCAAAAUUGCACCUUGCAAAUUCCUUAAUGGUAAUAACACAGCUGAACCAGAACUUGGAUAAGACCUAGGAUCACCACCUGGAAUCUGAGGGAAUGUUUUGACGACAACAUUGUUAGUAUAGUUGAAUAAGAUUGCUUUGUUGUUUGCGAAGAUGAAAAGAUUGCCAUCCACGUUUAAGAAAACAAAAGGGUAUAGGUUGUUUUCUGUUCUAGGUUCACUUGUUUGAACCAAAAAGGGUAAACUAUAAGUGUUUUUGGCUGUGGCUUCAGUUUUGGGGUAAAACUCGUAGUUGAAUUGUCUUCUUCCGCCGAUUAUUAUUUGACCACCGUCCGGUA
rnacentral:lncRNA from 1 species